rnacentral:sRNA from 1 species
AUAGAGCAACCAUGUGGAGGCAUUAAACUCUAAUUGUCUUCAAUCGUUUUCUUAAAAAUAGGAUCCUGCUAUGUGUGAUCGGCUGUGAUUGUGAUAUCUUUGACUGUCAACUCCACCGUCUGUUACUGGUCCUGAGAAGAACCCUCUGCUGUUGGGUUUGGAGAUGGGCGCUUACAUCAGGGUCUCUGCGUCUGUCUUCUUGAGGAGGGGCUGGCCUGUGUUUGACCUUUCUGCACUGUCCUCAGGUUCUUCUGUCACAAUCUUGUCUCCCUAGAGAAAGAAAUUCUUCAGACAACCCUGAGCCAUCUCUCACUCUUGCUCAACAAGCCUUUCUUUGUCACAGAAGGGCUGUAUCAAUUAUCAAAUGGAGCAUGAGAAACUACCUUCCAGUUACAGAAACCUAACCCAGUUCAAAGGCUGCAUAAUGAAGAUUUUUUCCUUUGUUAAUAAAGGAAAA